UACGUAGGGCGCAAGCGUUGUCCGGAAUUAUUGGGCGUAAAGAGCUCGUAGGCGGUCUGUCACGUCUGCCGUGAAAACCCGAGGCUUAACCUCGUGGCUUACGGUGGAUACGGGCAGACUAGAGGUAGGUAGGGGAGAACGGAAUUCCCGGUGUAGCGGUGAAAUGCGCAGAUAUCGGGAGGAACACCGGUGGCGAAGGCGGUUCUCUGGGCCUUACCUGACGCUGAGGAGCGAAAGCAUGGGGAGCGAACAGG
rnacentral:rRNA from 1 species